rnacentral:tRNA from 1 species
GGGGGUAUAGCUCAGUGGUAGAGCACGCGCUUAGCAUCAAUAGGUUCCUGGGUUCAAUCCCCAGUACCUCUG